UCCUGAAAUAGACACAUCAACACAAUGCAGGCUAUGCAUAAAGGGUGCUAAU
rnacentral:lncRNA from 1 species